rnacentral:rRNA from 1 species
GACGAACCGUGCGAACGUUGUUCGGAAUCACUGGGCUUAAAGGGCGCGUAGGCGGGUGUGCAAGUCUGUGGUGAAAGCCUCCAGCUUAACUGGAGAAGUGCCGUGGAUACUGCACAUCUUGAGGAGGGUAGGGGCAUCUGGAACGGUCGGUGGAGCGGUGAAAUGCGUUGAUAUCGACCGGAACUCCGGUGGCGAAGGCGAGGUGCUGGACCCUUUCUGACGCUGAGGCGCGAAAGCCAGGGGAGCAAAGCGGGG